rnacentral:rRNA from 1 species
GACGAACGCUGGCGGCGUGCUUAACACAUGCAAGUCGAACGGUAAGGCUCCAGCUUGCUGGGGUACACGAGUGGCGAACGGGUGAGUAACACGUGGGUGACCUGCCCUGCACUUCGGGAUAAGCCUGGGAAACUGGGUCUAAUACCGGAUAGGACCAUGGUGUGGAUACUGUGGUGGAAAGUUUUUUCGGUGUGGGAUUGGCGCGCGGCCUAUCAGCUUGUUGGUGGGGUAAUGGCCUACCAAGGCGGCGACGGGUAGCCGGCCUGAGAGGGAGGACGGCCACAUUGGGACUGAGACACGGCCCAGACUCCUAAGGGAGGCAGCAGUGGGGAAUAUUGCACAAUGGGCGGAAGCCUGAUGCAGCGACGCCGCGUGGGGGAUGACGGCCUUCGGGUUGUAAACUCCUUUCACCAUCGACGAAGGGUUUCUGACGGUAGAUGGAGAAGAAGCACCGGCUAACUACGUG